AGUGGUAGACAAAGCUGCACAUGUGUAGUCAGCUGGCAUUUAUCGUGUCGUGUUGUAAAAAUUGUUAAUUUGCCGUAAAUAUAUCUUGAUUUGUUCUCAAGAGUGGAGCAAGACCCCAAGGAAGAGAGAUUGACGCAUCGGGAGCGAAGAACUGAAACGAUGGAUGGUUACGCUGCUUGGCUCUCGGCACGUUCGAAUUGGCAAAGUUCCGAAUUUGUCGCUGUGUGGUGCACGCUUUUGCGCUCGUCAUUUGCCGUCAUCGCGCGGGGAUAUUUGCGCUGAAUGUCUUUCACUUCGUGUACAAAACUCUGCACGCUGCGGCAUCGAAGAAGUUGUCCUGUGUUUGGGUGCACGUAUGCGCUUGGACACGCGAUAGCCUGCUUGCUCUCGACGAGUGUUCAACAGUCUACGCGCGCUCGUAACUUGCUCAUGAUGUAAGCCCAUUCUAAUCUUAUUUGGUUUGCACAACGUAGGUGUUAAGUGAUGUGUGGUAAGCCGGUGUCGCGAACAGAAAUAUUGUUUCAAAAGACCACUAUGCAACGUCUUCGGGCAAAAAUGACGCAUGAAUGGGGAAAAGGAUCACCCUAUCUUUCAGAUCGAUUCCAGUGGUAGCGUGAUCGGCUCGAUCGCAAUUUCCGUGGGGCACUUCUAACCUCUUGCUCACUCGCGUUAAAAGCGUAGAAUGAAAGUGCGUUCAGUAGCGCACUUGUAUUGACGCUUGUAUUGGCUUGAGAGCUGUAUUAUACUGUACUGUAUCCUGUACUGUACUGUACUGUAUCCGAUACAAGAACUUCUGUUAGAAUACGGAAAUAAACGUUCGAGGCAUUAGCAGUGGCUCACUACGUGUGAUCGUUACUUUCUUGCUUGGGUGCACGUUUUAAUUGUACUGACCAAACAAAAGUUCUUCGCUCUGGCUGCUCUACUGUGUUUCCUUGGUGCAACUUGGGGUGCAAGACGUGUUGCUUCGAAUGAUGUCAGGGCAGUCAAGACAUUCGUGUCCGUAAGCAAGCAGUAAACGGUGUAUCAGUGCGAAAAAAUUUGGACAUACAAGAGAAGCGAAUGGUAUCAUCAUAGACUAUUUUACGAAUAAUUCACUUGUAUUACUAAAGCGCAGAGUGGAUAUGCAUGAAAGUCAUUGUAUUGAUACUCAGCAGGAACAAGGUAACUUAUCGUUACUAAUUAAUCUUUUCUUUUAGUGAAAGACAAGUUGCUGUUCUGCAGGAGCUGAGAAGAGGUCUGCUGCCUGCAAUGGGUCCACGUCUGUCGAGCUAUCGCAGUAUUGCAGCUCUCAAAGUUCAAAAAAGUAAGGUAGGAGCUGUUGCCAAGUUUUUGACCAGAAAGGAAAGCCAGUAUUAAGGGGUGCACACCACUGAUCUCUACUAUCAGGGAUGGACAGCACAACGAGCUCCCUCGACUGAAGCCAACCUUGUCCCGGAAGUUGGUGCUCCACAACUUUGCAGCAGCACUUCGUCUGCACGGCCUGUUGAGACAAGGUUUCUUAGACAUGGCCAUGGCCCUCAAGGAAGAUGCCGAGGCCACAGGCAGUUCCUCCAGUGACCGUGAAAAGGUCCCCUGGGGCACAAGUCUAAUUUGGCACCCCCACCUUUCUUCUGCAGCUUUUCUGUCUACUUAGCUAACCAGCAGCAAGCUUAUCCUCGCAAGGCGUUUGGGGUCAAGAACAACUUUCACCAGCAAAAAGUGCAAGACGAGUGAGUGAAGACAAUAAAGUUCCUUCUGUG